rnacentral:misc_RNA from 1 species
AGACAACAAUAGAAUAUAACGCAUUUUCUAUAGUGCCUUAUAAGCCAAAAUUAAAGUGCAAUGAUACUUGCGCAAAACAUAGGAUGUUUCCUGACAAUAGUCACUCAAAAUGAGCAAGAUACCGGACAUAGCUCCUACCACAUCAUAAAGAAAGAAACAACACUUUCAUUUAAUUGCAAAUAUUAUGAAAGCAUUCAACUUUCUCCUUUCUUCCAUAAAAUAAAGCAAGAAAGCUAACACAACAAUCUAUAGCACAUGUGGAGAGAUGCAGAUUCUGGAAACAAGAUCUAUAAUAUUUUUAAGAAAAGAAUACAUUGUUUGAUUGCCAAAAAAUUUCUUAAAUGCAAUAACAAGUAGGUACCCUGGAACAAGGCUUAGACAGGGUCAAUUAAGGCAUCAGAUAAAAGUUGGCACAUGACUAAGCAAAUCAAGAUCACACAGAGGUCUAAUCAUAUUAUCAUUAACAGGUAUUUCCCUGGUGCAGCUUUCAAUCACCAAUGUUUUGCAUGUUAAUUAAGUAUAUAUAAUAAUUCAAUAUGAAGUAAAAUAUAACUGGAAUAUACAUAUGCCUUACAGAUUGGUUAAAUGCAGAUGAUUAGCUAUGCAUAUUGUCCUGUUACAUACCAGAGGAGAAAGUA